rnacentral:rRNA from 1 species
AACGAACGCUGGCGGCAGGCUUAACACAUGCAAGUCGAGCGCCCCGCAAGGGGAGCGGCAGACGGGUGAGUAACGCGUGGGAACGUACCCUUCGGUUCGGAAUAACUCAGGGAAACUUGGGCUAAUACCGGAUACGUCCGUGAGGAGAAAGAUUUAUCGCCGAAGGAUCGGCCCGCGUUGGAUUAGCUAGUUGGUGGGGUAAUGGCCUACCAAGGCGACGAUCCAUAGCUGGUCUGAGAGGAUGAUCAGCCACACUGGGACUGAGACACGGCCCAGACUCCUACGGGAGGCAGCAGUGGGGAAUAUUGGACAAUGGGCGGAAAGACCUGAUCCAGCCACUGCCGCCGUGAGUGA